CCGACGUGGGCGCGCAUGCGCAGCUCUUACGCGCCGCUCUUCGUCGCCCGAACGGUGCGUGCUGGUCGUGCCCCGCCGCCUCACGGGGCGCACUGGUGUCUCCUGUCAGCUGAAGAGAAUGUCUGUGGUGCACCAGCUGUCACCAGGAUGGUUACUGGAUCAUCUUUCUUUCAUUAACAAGAUAAACUAUGAACUUCAUCAGCCUUAUUACAGUAAAAAUGAGCCUAUUUCUUCUGUUCACCUUGAUUCUCUUCGCAUGGAUUCUGUGUCCUCUCUUGGAGCCUCUGCUACAUUUAGUGCUUCUACUACUAAGCCAGAGGAUGAUGAUGGAGGAAACUUUGAAAUGUUCAUUCAAAGAUAUGUUUUUCGAUCUGAACUGUUUAAUGUCACCAAACCUUAUAUAACUUCUGUUAUUCACAAAGAAUGCGAACAAAGUAAUGAAAAGGAAGAUCUAGUAAAUGAUGUUAAAAAAGAAAUCUCCAUUUCUGUUACUGGGAAGAAACGGAAAAGAUGUGUUGUUUUCAAUCAAGGUGAAUUGGAUGCUAUGGAAUACCAUACAAAGAUCAGGGGGCUAAUUUUGGAUGGAUCCUCACAGUUAAUCCAAGAAGGUUUCAAAAGUGGCUUUCUUCAUCCACUUUCUGAAAAACAGGACAAGUGUAGUGAGCCCGUUAAAUUACCACUUGAUACCUGCAGUUUGUCAGAAUUAUGUGAAAUGGCAAAGCGUUUGCCUUCUCUGAAUGAAUUGGAACUUCAGACAUUACAAUUGACAGAAGAUGAUAUAUCUGUUACAGAGCAGGAUUUAUUUUCACGGGUUGUUGAGAACAACUCUAGCUUUACAAAAAUGAUGACUUUAAUGGGACAGAAAUACCUGCUGCCACCAAAAAGCAGUUUUCUUUUGUCUGACAUUUCUUGUAUGCAGCCGCUUCUGAACUGUAGGAAAACAUAUGAUGUAAUUGUGAUAGAUCCACCAUGGCAGAACAAGUCAGUUAAAAGAAGUAACAGAUACAGUUAUUUAUCACCACUGCAAAUAAAGCAGAUACCUAUCCCUAAACUGGCUGCUCCAAACUGUCUUGUUGUUACUUGGGUGACCAAUAGACAGAAGCACCUACGUUUUGUAAAGGAAGAGCUUUACCCUUCUUGGUCUGUGGAGAUAGUUGCUGAAUGGCACUGGGUAAAAAUCACCAGUUCUGGAGAGUUUGUGUUCCCAUUAGAUUCUCCACACAAAAAGCCUUAUGAAGGUCUUAUACUGGGAAGAGUUCGAGAGAAAGAUGCUUUACUAUUAAGGAAUGCAGAUGUAAAAGAGCUCCGGAUUCCAGAUCACAAGUUAAUUGUCAGUGUGCCCUGUACGCUUCACUCACAUAAGCCACCUCUUGCUGGGACAGUGAAUGACCUUCCUGACUGGCUGGUAUGUAAGGAGGACCCUGGACGUGAAUGGCUUCAUCCCUUCUCUUUGCUUCUUUUGGGUCUACCUGCCUGUGGAGAGGAUGAAGAAUUACCUCCAUUGUUCCAAAUGCCCUACUUCUGUUCGCAAGAAUCAUGAUAAGAGUACAUGCCCCAUCACUUCUGGGAAAAAUGGACAUUCCUUGGACAUCAAAGGAAGUGGAAUGGUGAUUCAUAUGUGACAUGUCAUCAGGCCAAAGCGUGUAUCCUCCUAAGUGGAAAUCACUUCUGAUAACAAAGUCACAUCAGUUUAUCCAGAAGGAUCCCUUAGAAGGUGUUGUGGGCGUACGUGAAAAUUACAUUAUAACGCUGGAGAAAAUUUCCUGCCAAAUGAUUCACUGACAGGUGGCAGAUCAGCGCGAGUCUGUCACAUACAUUUUAAUAACAGAUGUGAAAAAUGAGGCAAAGAGAAGCAGAGUAAUUUGGCCACAUUUACACAGUGAGCGGCAGAGAGAGGAUUUGGUUUCCAGGCUGUGAACUCUUGAGCACUAUGCUUCGUGGCCUCCAGUUUAAAAAAUCAGCCUGGACCCAGCUGCUCUUUCACUAAAACCUGCCAGAGGAGUCAUCCUGGAGCCUCUUCUCUUGAUGCCUUUGUUCCCUUUCUUUGAAUUACAUGACUCUGUCACAUACACCGUUCUGCUGUGGACCUGCGGUGUCUGAGGAACUUAAUGGUUAGGACAAAGGAUUGUUUUCUUUUUUUGUUUUUUUCCUUCCCCCUCCCCUUUGUUUUCUAAAAUGAUUGCCAAGCAAGAAUAGCUAUAUUUUAGGAAUAAGGGAGAAUUAAUGAAAAAAUUAUCAUUAACCACAUAGGCCAAAGGGGGCUAACACAUGAGGGUACGCAAGGUCCCAGCAUCGUCUAUCAUGACUGGCAAGCAAUUGGUGUGACCGACGGGGGAAGAGAAAACGCUAUGAUAGCAAAUGGAACUUUUCCCAUGGUAAGUUUUCAACUAUAAAAAUAAGAAAAAUUAAGAAAAUGCUAUAUAUGUCACUAAAAUCUGGAUAUAUUUUACUAAAAUUUUGUAUCAUAAAAUAAUUGCAGCCUAAGUAAAAUGUAUGCAUAAUUCUUCAUUCAGUUACCAAAUGCCUAAGAAUGCCUGGUAUGUGUUAGAAAUUGUCUUUGAUAUGGAGUGUUAAGUGCUGAGGUAGUGGACACAGCCUCUGACCUUACAGAGCUUAGAGCAGAGCUGUAUUUGAGAUUGUUGAUUUCUAUGCCUUUGUCAGUAUUUAGGUUUCCACAGUUGUAUGUCUAAAGACACCCGGAGGCUAAGAUUUAAAGGGAACAUUGACCUACGUCCAAUUUCCCUAUGUGAUUUUUUUCAAUAGUAUCUUUGUAAUCCCCCUCCACAUUAAGAGGGAUUUUUCUUUGUAUUGUUCAUUAGAGUGUUUCUUCCGGAUCUAAGAAAUUAGAAAAAAGGAAUCUGCAGAAAGAAGGGAUAAGAAAAACCCAGUCAUCUUUACUCUGGACUUCAUAUCAAGAUCGGUGAGCCCUGCCUUCAGGUUGGAGAGGCAACCCUAACCAGAGAAAGCAGUGUGUCCGGAGGUUCAGCGAAGACACCCUUUGAAGACUCGUGGGCGUUGGAGUUGCUGCGACCGGUCAGGUAGGGCAGAUGUGCUCUUGCAGGUAUUUGAACUGACCCUGAGUAUCAAGAUUCUCAAAUUCAAAGUCCUCUCAAACUCAGUAUUUAAUCCCACAGGUUUGCAGGCAGACUGCAUGUCCUCUAAGCAGCAUCCUGAAUCCCUGCUUAGAAGUGGAACCCGGACUUGCCGUCCAGCCUUCCUGAGAGCCUAGUCCUUCCACCAAGAAUGUAACCACCUCCUGAGAAAAUAAGGCUGGAUUCUCAGCCUCACCCUUCCCAGCCCUGACCCCUCAGGCCUUAGGGUGCGGGAGGCCUGCCGGCACCGGGCAGCGUGCCAGUGGACGAGAAUGGCUGCCUGACUCACAGAAUCACCAUUACACCCCUUCCCUCGCUGUGUUCUGCCUGCUGGCUCUCCUCUCUACAGGGUAACGCUCUCUAGGACCAGGUGUGCGCUCGGCUAGUUCUUUGAAUGCUGUGAACUACUGCAUCUCGAACUUUAGUGUACAGGCAAAUCCAGUGGGCGUUACGUUUGUUAAAAUGCAGAUGUAAUUCUUUCCGGCCUGUGGGGGGCGGGGGCAGGGGAUGAGAUUGCUGCGUGUCUGACAUGCACUCGGUUAACAACUGUGCUGCUUGUCCAUGGACCAGACCAGUAAUGGUAGCACGUUAGACGGUCCGAUUGUCCUCUGCAGCCGAACACCUAGCACCCACCUCAGAUGCCUCCGCCCUCCCAACGUCUUGGAGAUGUGGAGCUGAGUACCCGGCCUCACGGCAGCGACAGAACCAAGAUUUGACAUACAAGUGAUAUCAUAUGGUAACGCUGCAUCCAAGAGUUCCCACCCCCCCCCUUUGGAAGCACCACAGCAUUGCCGAGAGGCUGCAGAGGGCGGGUGAAGUGUCCACCUUGGACUCCUAUGCAUCCUGGCCGGGGCUGAGCUUCUCUGGAGCCUCAUUACAUGUGGACAGUAGGUGUAACUCACCAGCCCCCAUCAAAUGGAAGAGGAAUCAAAGGAGGCCUUUGCCCGGUGGAGCAUGUCCUCUCCAGGGCUGGCCCCAGCUUCCCACCCGCUCCCAGGGCGCCUGCAAG